rnacentral:lncRNA from 1 species
AAUGCAAUAGUAAUCAAUAAAACAAUCAACUUCAUACAUAACACAAUCGACUUAAAUCAAACAUAAUCAGAUACUCAAUAUAACAUACCACUGAUUUCAUUGAUUUUAAUCUGUGAUUACAAUAAGAUAAGCCAAAACAGACAUGGUGUGCAAAAGCCAUUUACAAAAGAAACACAAAAAAAAAAAACAAACAAACAAGACUCAUGACACAAGAC